AGUGAGUAAAGCAGAUUGCUCUCCCUAAUGUGGGUGGGCCUCAACCAAUUCGUGGAAGGUCUGACUAGAACGAAGGCUGACCUUCCCCAGAGUAAGGGAGAAUUCUUUCUGCCUGACUGCCUUUGAACUGGGACAUCAGCUUUUUUCUGCCUUUGGAUUCGAAAUGGAACAUCAGCUCUUCCUGGGUCUCAAGCCUGCCGGCCUUUGGAAUGGAACUACAGCAUCAAUUCUCCUGGGUCUCCAGCUUGCCAACUCACCCUACAGAUCCCGGGGCUUGUCAGCCUCCGAAAUUGUGUCAUCAAAAACAAGGAAAAGCCUGAGAAACUGUCAUAGCCAAGAGGAGCAUAUGAAGACAUGAUGACUAAAUCUAAUGUGGUAUCCUGGCUGGCAUCCUGGAACAGAAAAAGGACAUUAGGCCCAGCUCCAGGGACCCUGCAACCGCCCCCCCUCACCCCGCCCCGAGACGAG
rnacentral:lncRNA from 1 species